CCUACGGGAGGCAGCAGUGGGGAAUAUUGGUCAAUGGGCGAAAGCCUGAACCAGCAAUGCCGCGUGAGUGAUGAAGGCCUUCGGGUUGUAAAGCUCUGUCGGGAGGGACGAAAAAGCAGCGUAACGAGCUGUGUUGACGGUACCUCCAAAGGAAGCACCGGCUAACUCUGUGCCAGCAGCCGCGGUAAUACAGAGGGUGCAAGCGUUGUUCGGAAUUACUGGGCGUAAAGCGCGUGUAGGCGGCGUGGUAAGUCGAAUGUGAAAGCCCUUGGCUUAACCAAGGAAGUGCAUUCGAUACUGCUAUGCUUGAGUACCGGAGGGGAUGGCGGAAUUCCUGGUGUAGAGGUGAAAUUCGUAGAUAUCAGGAGGAACACCUGUGGCGAAGGCGGCCAUCUGGACGGUGACUGACGCUGAGACGCGAAAGCGUGGGUAGCAAACAGGAUUAGAUACCCGAGUAGUC
rnacentral:rRNA from 1 species